rnacentral:ncRNA from 1 species
CAAGUGCCUCUCCAUCUAAUUAGUGAUGCACAUGAAUGGAUUAACUAAAUUCCCACUAUACCUAUCUACUAUCUAGUGAAACCACAACCAAAGGAAUGGGCUUGGCAUAAUCAACAGGGAAAGAAGACCUUGUUGAGAUUGACUUAGUCUGACUUUGUGAAAUGAAUUGAGAGUUGUAGAAUAAGUGGGAAUCAUUUUCAGCACAAAUGAAAUACCACUACUUUUAACAUUAUUUUACUUAUAAUUUUGUGGGGCAGAGAUGGAGCAGUUACCCUAUUUUUGGCCUUAAGUCAUGUUUCGAUGGGUCGAUCUGGGCAGAAGACAUUUCCAGGUGGGGAUUUUGGAUGGGGAAACACAUCUAUUAAAAUAUAUCAUAAAAUAUAAUUGGUGUAGAUAGAACAUUUGUAUUUGGGAGAUAUUAGUGCAAAACCACCCUUAUUACCUUUCCCUCCUAAUUUGUAGU